rnacentral:rRNA from 1 species
UUUGAGAAAAUUUUAAAAAUUUGGAUUAUUGAACUGGAUUAGUACCCAGGUAAUCAAAAUUAAUUAAUUCGGGAGUAAAGUUUUGUUUAAACCGAAAAAAUAUUGACUGACUCUGGAUUUCUUUUUGGAAUAUGUGUAUGGAGAGCCCUCUUUAAUAGUAAAUCUUUUUUUGCACAUGUAUGAUUGUUUAGUUUUUAUUUUGUUUUGUAAYGCUUYUUUUAGAUUUAAAACAGAUAUAUACUUGGCUUAUGGGUUUAUUAAUC